CCCGUCCAGUCUCAGCGGCUGCCAGCAGGUAAGGAAACCCAGGGCUUUUCUCCUGUACAGGGAGCACCCUGGGCCUCUCUUGCCUGAGUCUUCCAAGGGAGAGCUGGGGACUGGGUCCGGGAGCUCACGCGUUUUGCGCAGAAGUGGGUGGCUGGAGGUGUGAGACUGAGGUGAGACCCUCUAAAUGGGUCGGCUUGGGCACUGUGGCCUUAUCUCCUGGGCCUUGGGCAGGGACUGGGUCUGUGUGGGGUUGCCUCUGACCCCUGGGGUGAGGCAGAAGAUCUUGGGUGGAGCCAAAAGGGGUCAUUGAGACAGAAAGCAGAAGUGUCCCUCACCUCAGGGCCCCUUUCUCCAGGCAGAUCAUGAUCCAUCGGUUCUGCUGGGUCAGGCUAUAGGACGACAAGACCCACCAAGGGACCAAGUGCUCCAGGCACCAUGGGACAGUGUCGGUCAGCCAAUGCUGAGGUGGGACCGUCGCUCUUUGGCCUGUUUCCCUGUUCUUUUCCACCCCUGGGAUCUGUGUUCCCCUCUGACUUCUGCCCCUCACCUUGGCCUGGCCCUACACCCAGACCUCGGCAGUGAGGCCUGAGAUCCCUCCCUGAACCCCACACAAGGUGAUCGGAUGGACUCCUCCUG
rnacentral:lncRNA from 1 species